rnacentral:rRNA from 1 species
CACGUAGGGCGCGAGCGUUGUCCGGAAUUAUUGGGCGUAAAGAGCUCGUAGGCGGCCUGUUGCGUCCGCUGUGAAAGCCCGGGGCUUAACCCCGGGUCUGCAGUGGAUACGGGCAGGCUAGAGGUAGGUAGGGGAGAAUGGAAUUCCCGGUGUAGCGGUGAAAUGCGCAGAUAUCGGGAGGAACACCGGUGGCGAAGGCGGUUCUCUGGGCCUUACCUGGCGCUGAGGAGCGAAAGCGUGGGGAGCGAACAGG